rnacentral:lncRNA from 1 species
ACGCAGGCCACCGCGCCCGGGAACUUCCUCCCCCGCGGAGACCACCCCAAGCCCGGGCCGGCCGCCAAGGGGACUUCCUUCAGAACACGGAAGAAAAUCUCCCGCCGCUUCCCGGCGGGGCCACUGCGGUCUCUAUGACGCCCACCUGGCGGCCAGUGCCGGGGGAAUCGGCUGGGGCUAAUACCUUCCGCCAUCCCUAACAAUCCGCGGAAAACCCGAGGCUUCCCUGCGCUCGGCGCUCGCUCCACAACCGCAGCUCCUCCCCUGGCAGGAGCCCCCAAGUUCCCGGACCUUAACAACAGGGCGCCUGGCUCUCUCAGCCGCAGGUUCCAGGGACGCUGAAAUUGAACGCUCCGCCUACGGUUUCGUGCUGUGCAUGAAGGAGUUGACCAGGCACGUCAAAACCACCUGUUGUCUAAAGAGUAUGGGGGAGAGGUUUUCCCUUUUUUUUUCUUCUAAAUUGAUCUGAACAAUUUUUUUCUCCAUCUUUCCCUACCCUAUUUCAGGAUGAAAAGCGAACUCUGCCUUCUUGAAAGCUGACAGUUUAUCUGUAUGGAAAAUCUGCCCAGUGGAAAAAUGUCCAGAAAAGAUUACUAAGUAAUAUAGGGUCUUCUGGGAUGCCUUACCAAUACGAGCUUUCCUAAGAGCACCAACAAUUAAACUAUUGCUUUGUCCUGGCAUUCAGGAAAAGACAGGUGUAUGCCAAAAGAGGAAUUCAUAGACAACUAGUCCUCUUUCACUAGUUGGUUGGUUUUUACACAGUUGGUUGGUUGGUUCUUAAGAAAGCAGGCACCUCCUUUUACCCCAAGCCAAAAUUAAAAUGUGUCCAAAAGUUGUUCUUUUAGGCUUUUUACUGAUUUCUCCAUGUUCCUCUGGCAAACUCCUACAUUUUUUCCAAUUCCAGUACUGUUGUUGGGUGUCUUUCCCAGAAGACAACCUGAAACCCUCUUAGGCCUUAGGAGAUGACCCGAAUACUAGCCUUAAUUAACCUAGAUCAACACAAAAUUCUAGAGUGGAGCCGUCCUCCUAGGUAGCAGUCAGAAAAAUUCCUGGAAGUUUCCUGGGGAAAAGACAGAGACUGACUAGCAGUUUGCUAAAAAGUACUGAGUACCUUGCAGGCCACCAGGUACUAGCUGAGGUAGUUCCAGCUCUUCAAUGCCUUGCCGGGAUUUAAAUGCUCAGUGAGGUGAGUACUAAGGGCACAAAUGUCCUGUGGAGGGCUUUAUUCUCCAAGGGCUUUCUGAGUGCACCUCUAUCUUCCUUGUGCCACUGGCACCCUAAACUUAAGCUUAGUCAUCCCUGAAAUGCUCCCACACUACCCAGUGUCAAGGAACCACAAUUCUAGACUUUGGACACAGGUGAACCAGGAGGAAAUCCCUACUCUUCUUGUGUAAAUGUAAGGAAAUUACUGCUACAUUUUUUUUUCCAUCAACAAUAUUAGUACUAUAGGGUGCUGUGAGAAUUAAAUAACAUGCUUAAAUCACCAAGAACAGGGCCUAGCACUUUAUAAGUACUCAAUAAAUGGUAGCUGUUGUAUUUACUACAGUUCAUUGCCCUGAGAACAAAAGGACCAGAAACAGAAAGGCGGUUUGGAGAUGGAUUUGAAUCCCUGCAAGUUGAGUUCCCCCACCCCAUCCCCGACAGUUGCUUAAUUGUGAUACUUUUGUCUACUCUGUGCCUGCUUUCUCGUGGGGUGAACUGGACAGUUCUGCAUGUAGUCAGGUGAUUCCUGUGCACACUGAAGUCUGAGAG